rnacentral:rRNA from 1 species
GGUCAAGCUAAUAAGAGCGCAAGGGGAAUGCCUUGGCAUCAGGAGCCGAAGAAGGACGUGACAAGCUGCGAUAAGCUGCGGUGAGCUGCACAUAAGCUUUGACCCGCAGAUUUCCGAAUGGGGAAACCCGGCAGAGCAAUACUCUGUCAGCCUGCGUUGAAUCAAAUAGGCGUAGGUGGGGAACCGCCUGAACUGAAACAUCUAAGUAGGGCGAGGAAGAGAAAUCAACAGAGAUUCCGCAAGUAGUGGCGAGC